rnacentral:lncRNA from 1 species
CCUCUUUAGUUAUGAAGUUGUUGCAAUAGCAACCAUCUGCGACAAGCUUCCAAACGUUCCCUCUGAUGGUUAUGAUGUCUUGAUGAUUUUAGAAUGCAGCUAAACUCUACAUUCUCCAUUUGAGGGGGCAAAAAAUUCCUCUCUCAUGGUCAGAGUGGGUCCUGUAUCUCCACAUAAUAUUUUCAUCCUUCUCCUCACCAGUGGCCUCUGCUGAUCACCAUAGCUUGCCUUUUCUCCUUCCAGCAGAAUUUUCUCUUCAUCAUUCUAGAAUCAUGAGCUACUUUUCUUUGUGGCUGUGGGAUUUUCUAUAGACAGAAUAUUUAUGGACCGUUCCACAAACUUGAACCACUCUAUUCAGGAUCCAUUGAAUUGUGGCCUGCACUUUAGUUGGGAUUGAUCCAAUUGUGCCUUUCCUGGAACAAAACCUAUUUGCUACUAAGAUUUGUCUUUCUACGAUUGCUGUCUGCAGCAGGUUUUUCUAUGCAUUACUUUGGUCAAGUUUAGAUUGACUCAUAAACUUACCAGACUCAAUGUUGUUUCCUUCCUUGGGUAUAAUUAACUUGUUCUCAAGGAGUAGCUUUCAAGGGACCCAUGCUAUGAAUGAAUGCUUCCAUCUAUCUUCUAAGGUUAAUUAACAUGGCUACCAUUAGCUCUUGAGCAGUA